rnacentral:rRNA from 1 species
UAGGGAAUCUUCCGCAAUGGACGCAAGUCUGACGGAGCAACGCCGCGUGAGUGAAGAAGGAUUUCGGUUCGUAAAACUCUGUUGUUAGAGAAGAACAGCGCAUAGAGUAACUGUUAUGCGUGUGACGGUAUCUAACCAGAAAGCCACGGCUAACUACGUGCCAGCAGCCGCGGUAAUACGUAGGUGGCAAGCGUUGUCCGGAUUUAUUGGGCGUAAAGCGAGCGCAGGCGGUCAAUUAAGUCUGAUGUGAAAGCCCCCGGCUCAACCGGGGAGGGUCAUUGGAAACUGGUUGACUUGAGUGCAGAAGAGGAGAGUGGAAUUCCAUGUGUAGCGGUGAAAUGCGUAGAUAUAUGGAGGAACACCAGUGGCGAAGGCGACUCUCUGGUCUGUAACUGGCGCUGAGGUUCGAAAGCGUGCGUAGCGAACAGG